UACGAAGGGGGCUAGCGUUGUUCGGAAUCACUGGGCGUAAAGCGCACGUAGGCGGAUUGUUAAGUCGGGGGUGAAAUCCUGAGGCUCAACCUCAGAACUGCCUUCGAUACUGGCAAUCUCGAGUCCGGAAGAGGUUGGUGGAACAGCUAGUGUAGAGGUGAAAUUCGUAGAUAUUAGCUAGAACACCAGUGGCGAAGGCGGCCAACUGGUCCGGUACUGGACGCUGAGGUGCGAAAGCGUGGGGAGCAAACAGGG
rnacentral:rRNA from 1 species